rnacentral:rRNA from 1 species
GACGAACCGUGCGAACGUUGUUCGGAAUCACUGGGCUUAAAGGGCGCGUAGGCGGGCUCGCAAGUCCGGGGUGAAAGCCUCCCGCCCAACGGGAGAAGCGCCUCGGAGACUGGGGGCCUCGAGGGAGGUAGGGGCAAGCGGAACUGUGGGUGGAGCGGUGAAAUGCAUUGAGAUCCACAGGAACUCCGGUGGCGAAGGCGGCUUGCUGGACCUCUUCUGACGCUGAGGCGCGAAAGCCAGGGGAGCGAACGGG